rfam:TPA: Bos taurus chromosome 21, whole genome shotgun sequence.
UCCCUGGUGGUCCAGUGGCCAAGACUCUGUGCCCUCAAUGCAGGGGGCCCGAGUUUGAUUCCUGGUCAGGGAA